rnacentral:rRNA from 1 species
GAUGAACGCUAGCGACAGGCUUAACACAUGCAAGUCGAGGGGCAGCAUGAGGUAGCAAUACCUUGAUGGCGACCGGCGCACGGGUGAGUAACGCGUAUGCAACCUGCCCGAUACCGGGGUAUAGCCCAUGGAAACGUGGAUUAACACCCCAUAGUACUUUUAUCCUGCAUGGGAUGGGAGUUAAAUGUUCAAGGUAUCGGAUGGGCAUGCGUCCUAUUAGUUAGUUGGCGGGGUAACAGCCCACCAAGACGAUGAUAGGUAGGGGUUCUGAGAGGAAGGUCCCCCACAUCGGAACUGAGACACGGUCCAAACUCCUACGGGAGGCAGCAGUGAGGAAUAUUGGUCAAUGGACGUAAGUCUGAACCAGCCAAGUCGCGUGAGGGAAGACUGCCCUAUGGGUUGUAAACCUCUUUUAUAAGGGAAGAAUAAGUUCUACGUGUAGAAUGAUGCCUGUACCUUAUGAAUAAGCAUCGGCUAACUCCGUGCCAGCCGCCGCCGUAA